rnacentral:other from 1 species
GUUAAUUCAAUUCAUGUGUUAAAAGGGACGAAUUUUCAUCCUGUUCUAAUGUGUGUAUUUUUUCUUAACAAUACUCAUUAAGUGUAAAAAAACAGGUAUAAUGGAGGUUCGUACAAUGAACACAGGUACAGUAAAAUGGUUUAACGCAGAAAAAGGUUUCGGAUUCAUCGCUGUUGAAGGUGGAGACGAUGUAUUCGUACAUUUCUCAGCUAUCCAAGGCGAAGGUUUCAAAUCUCUUGAAGAAGGCCAAAAAGUAAGCUUUGAGAUCACUCAAGGUAACCGUGGCGCUCAAGCUGAAAACGUAGUUAAAUUAUAAUUUUCACUUUUGAGUGAGUAAAAGGCUGCUAGCAUUUUUGUUAGCAGUCUUUU